ACCGAAAGGUAUGCUAAUACGAGAUAAUAUACUUUUAUCGCAUGGUAGAAGUAUCAAAGCUUUUGCGGUACAGGAUGGACCCGCGUCUGAUUAGCUAGUUGGUAAGGUAACGGCUUACCAAGGCGACGAUCAGUAGCCGACCUGAGAGGGUGAUCGGCCACAUUGGAACUGAGACACGGUCCAAACUCCUACGGGAGGCAGCAGUGGGGAAUAUUGCACAAUGGGCGAAAGCCUGAUGCAGCAGCGCCGCGUGAACGAUGAAGGCCUUCGGGUCGUAAAGCUCUGUCCUCAAGGAAGAUAAUGACGGUACUUGAGGAGGAAGCCCCGGCUAACUACGUGCCAGCAGCCGCGGUAAUACGUAGGGGGCUAGCGUUAUCCGGAAUUACUGGGCGUAAAGGGUGCGUAGGUGGUUUCUUAAGUCAGAGGUGAAAGGCUACGGCUCAACCGUAGUAAGCCUUUGAAACUGGGAAACUUGAGUGUAGGAGAGGAGAGUGGAAUUCCUAGUGUAGCGGUGAAAUGCGUAGAUAUUAGGAGGAACACCAGUUGCGAAGGCGGCUCUCUGGACUGUAACUGACACUGAGGCACGAAAAGCGUGGGGGAGCAAACAGGAUUAAAAUACCCUGGGUAGUCCACGCCGUAAACGAUGAGUACUAGCUGUCGG
rnacentral:rRNA from 1 species